rnacentral:ncRNA from 2 species
UGUUAACACAGUAACUGACGACAUUUGUGGAAUAGACCACUUGGGAGCUGUGUUUAUAUCGGGUCGGGUCGUCUGGGCAGAGAUA